ensembl:snoRNA small nucleolar RNA SNORA8
UUGACUCCAUGGUAUCUGCAUUCAGCAGUUAUUCCUGCGGGGUGUUCAAAGGACAGUGUGAUAUAAAUUCAGUAUCUGGCAUCGCUGGUUUUCUUGGCUUUGUGUAUGUUAAAACUGGUAUUUUUAUUGGUACACUA